rnacentral:lncRNA from 1 species
CUGAACAUGAAAUUCAUUUUAAUGUUCCAGCUAUAGUUGGCAUAAACGACAUUUCAAUACUAAACCAAAAGGCAAUGGCAAGAAGUAUAUUCAUACAGGUAAUGUAGCAACCUUUGCUCAUCUCCAACGUGUAUGUCAACUUCUCCCUUUCGCAGUGGUCUACUUCUUUUAGUUUCUCCAUAUUUGUAUAAAUACGAUAUUUACAUCUGGUAUCAUAUACCUAAGAAACUCGUGAAGUAGACGUAAGUCAUACAAUAUUCCUUCUAAUGACCUUUCAUUCUAUAAUGAAACCAAGGGUCAUUAGAUUUGGUAUUUGUCAUUUCGCUUAUACUGCCUUAACCAUAUUGGGUGCUUUCACAAAGCCCCUUUAGACUUCCUCUUAAUAUCUUUAAAGAAAUCAAUGGUUUCCCCAUUACCAGCUUCGAUAAAGGGGUUAACAGUCCUAAGCAUGUUAAGCAACUCAAUAAUUGCGCAUUCAAGCUUAUUCACGUUAAAUUCAUAAUUAGUUAUGAAUAGCUUUCUCUGACAGAGAUUGCAGAACUAAGUCACUACUUAGUUCAUUAUUUAUGAUUGAACACAGUUGAGACAUUUCUCAACGUCAAUCAUCUUCAGUGUCCAAGCAUCGAUUGAAGAUUAC